rnacentral:rRNA from 1 species
UACGGGGGGGGUAAGCGUUGUUCGGAAUUACUGGGCGUAAAGGGCUCGUAGGCGGCCAACUAAGUCAUACGUGAAAUCCCUCAGCUUAACUGGGGAACUGCGUGUGAUACUGGAUGGCUUGGAUUUGGGAGAGGGAUGCGGAAUUCCAGGUGUAGCGGUGAAAUGCGUAGAUAUCUAGAGGAACACCGGUGGCGAAGGCGGCAUUCUGGACCGAUAUUGACGCUGAGGAGCGAAAGCCAGGGGAGCAAACGGG